UGCAUGGACAGGAAGAGCAGGGAUGCAGAGAGGGCACUUAACUAUCGUGACAAAGAGGAAGUCCCGAAAAUACAUCUCAACCUGCAUGAAGACAAAGCAAAGGGACCAGAGAGGACACAUAGAGUGGCCCCAAGAGAAACACCCAUAAGGCGCGCGCACACACACACACACAGUGGCUCACCACCGCCAGACACAAAUAGGGGGCAGAGAAGGACAGACAGACGCAGGAGACACGCACAUCCGGGCAAAACACAUAAACACACUUAGCACCCAUGAGCUUUACACCCAUGGGACACACAGACCCAACCCCGUACAGAUGAACUGCAGAAGCAGACGGCAGCAACGCACGCAGUUGCCACAAGUGAACGGGCAGUCGUAGACACAAGAUACAACCAGAGCCAUUACACAUCUGUGCCACAGGCCAGCCAGGGAAAGAGACACCUGUUGCCAGAGGCCUUGGCCUGCAUGGCUAUGGGGAGCCGUGUUCCCACCGCCCCCACGAGACCCUGGAGCGCUGCUGACCGGCCCUUGCUUCCUCCCCGGCUCUGAGGGACUCCUCCGGGAAGUGCUUCUCUUCCUGUCGUUGCCCGUCUGUCUACACCUCCCAGGGCCCCCGAAUAAGUACAGAAUGCACCACUGAGGAAAGAGUAAAGGAACAAAGCAACAAAAGGGUGGAUUCGACAAACGUCUGCGGAACGCCACCUGUGUGCCGGCUCUGUUCUAGGGCCGGGAGGCAGCAGCGAACAAGACAGAACAAAAUUCCUGCCUAGUGAAGCUCGUUAUUUCUAAGGAAUGAUGAAUCAAUCUUUCAAUUCU